AUGGUACUCUCCCGUGCUCUCCGCCAUAUCAUCCGGGGCAUCAUGCGUGGGUGGCUCAAGAUCAAGCCAUCCUAUCUGCUAUCCAGUCCUCUCUCACGGAGGGAGUCUCGUCGUUGGUCAUCUUUGCCGCUACAUCUCGGGACGCAUGGACGGCUCUUCAUACCAGUUUUGCUUCGCAGUCCCAGGCGCGUGCUCAUGCUAUUCGCACUGCGCUAG
rnacentral:rRNA from 1 species